GUCCUGCAUGCUGUUGCUUUUGGUCGACUGUGUGUGACAGACGUCUCUUGACCUCGCGACUUACUUAGGCACGUACGAUUAGGCGAGGAAUUUAGACUUUAAACUUCAGUUUUCUUAGAAAAGGAAAUCUAUCAGAACUUGCUUAUAUUAUAUUGGUCAAACGUAACUGCUAGAAGUUGAAUCAAGACAACACACGAGAAAAUGGGUUUCAAAAUAAGCUUCUUAUUCAUACUUGUUACCUUCAGCGUGUUUAGCACGGUAUACCUGUGUCCUGCAAAAAAGGAAAGACAUUUGCGUCCGUAUGAGAAAUAUAGGAUGCUUCAUGGCAGACCUACUUUCUGUAAUAGUCCACUUGACACUGGUGGUUGCUGUAGAGUUAAAUAUCCCAAUAAUACCUGCUACAAAGAUACGCUGUAUAAAAUCAACAAAGACUAUAUUGAAUACAGAUAUUGGUAUAAUGAAACUUCAAUGAUGUGUGAAUCUUUUCUGUGGACAAGGUGCAGUCAAAAUGACAAUAAUUUUCGACAUUGGGAACAAUGCAUGGACUUGUGCUACGUAGGCAAUCUUACAUCGUCAAAGUUUCUUCGUGAUAUUCUCCAUGUGUAAAACUUUUGAGAGCUCCUCAUAUAUUGAUAUGUAUUUGUGAUAAUUUGGUAUUUAAAUAGAAAUACUAAAUGAGAGACUCUGUAUAGUUUUUAUAAAAUA